CAAAACAAAGGCCAUACCAGUUUGUUUAUCUCAGGGUGACAGUUUCAUAAUGGAUUAGAGAGAAAAGAUGUCCUGGAGAAACUGCUCUAAACUCUGAGGAGGGUCAUCACCUUUGCCUGUAAGUAUAUCUUCCAUUUGGAUGCAAAUGCUUGUAUUCUUGGGGUUCUUUUUCAAAUAUUCAAACACUAAAAUGUCCUUUACAUUUUCUCCUGAGGAAUCGACCAGUGUACAGUUCUGUACCCAUGCCCGUUAUGACCGUCUUUGAUUCGUUGACCAAUGUGGCUUACGUCAUCCACUUAUGCUGUCUCUCCUGAGUGGUGAUGCUGUGGCUGUGACACUUGGUAACAAGAUCCUAAGCCAUGUUCGGAGACUCAUUCCUACUACAGUGGCCGUGGCUUGUGCCAGCGAACUGAACUCCUCAACCAUUAUAACAUCCAGUGUUAACAGUUAUUCCUCCCAUAUCCGUGGAGCAACCCUCAUCUGA
rnacentral:lncRNA from 1 species